UCUCCGUUGGUGAACCAGCGGAGGGAUCAUUACAGAGUUUUCUAACUCCCAAACCCAUGUGAACUUACCAUUGUUGCCUCGGCGGAGCCUACCCUGUAGCUACCCUGUAGGGUGGUUACCCUGUAGCGCCCCGCCGGCGGAUUUUCAAACUCUUGUUAUUUUUAGUAUUCUGAGAGUCUUAUUUUAAAUAAGUCAAAACUUUCAACAACGGAUCUCUUGGUUCUGGCAUCGAUGAAGAACGCAGCGAAAUGCGAUAAGUAAUGUGAAUUGCAGAAUUCAGUGAAUCAUCGAAUCUUUGAACGCACAUUGCGCCCAUUAGUAUUCUAGUGGGCAUGCCUGUUCGAGCGUCAUUUCAACCCUUAAGCUCAGCUUAGUGUUGGGAGACUAUGUGUGGGCCAAGCUACCCUGUAGCGUGGUUACCCUGUAGCUCCUGAAAAUCAACGGCGGAUUUACAGUAUCCUCUGAGCGUAGUAAUUUUUUAUCUCGCUUCUGUUUAGGUGCUGUAGGCCCUGCCGCUAAACCCCCAAUUUUUUGUGGUUGACCUCGGAUCAGGUAGGAAUACCCGCUGAACUUAAGCAUAUCAAUAAGCGGAGGAAAAGAAACCAACAGGGAUUCCCCUAGUAACGGCGAGUGAAGCGGGAACAGCUCAAAUUUGAAAUCUGGCCCUCGGGUCCGAAUUGUAAUUUGCAGAGGAUGCUUUUGGUUAGGUACUUUCCGAGUUCCCUGGAACGGGACGCCUUAGAGGGUGAGAGCCCCGUACGGUUGGAUACCGAGCCUUUGUAAAGCUCCUUCGACGAGUCGAGUAGUUUGGGAAUGCUGCUCUAAAUGGGAGGUAAAUUUCUUCUAAAGCUAAAUACCGGCCAGAGACCGAUAGCGCACAAGUAGAGUGAUCGAAAGAUGAAAAGCACUUUGAAAAGAGGGUUAAAUAGCACGUGAAAUUGUUGAAAGGGAAGCGUUUAUGACCAGACUUUUUCCAGGCGGAUCAUCCGGUGUUCUCACCGGUGCACUUCGUCUGGUUGAGGCCAGCAUCGGUUUUCGUAGAGGGAUAAAAGCUUUAGGAAUGUGGUUCCCCCGGGAAUGUUAUAGCCUAUUGUAUAAUACCUUUAUGGGGACCGAGG
rnacentral:rRNA from 1 species